rnacentral:rRNA from 1 species
GACGAACGCUGGCGGCGUGCUUAACACAUGCAAGUCGAACGCUGAAGCACCAGCUUGCUGGUGUGGAUGAGUGGCGAACGGGUGAGUAAUACGUGAGUAACCUGCCCUUGACUCUGGGAUAAGCCCGGGAAACUGGGUCUAAUACUGGAUGCUACAUGUCACCGCAUGGUGGUGUGUGGAAAGGGUUUACUGGUCUUGGAUGGGCUCACGGCCUAUCAGCUUGUUGGUGAGGUAAUGGCUCACCAAGGCGACGACGGGUAGCCGGCCUGAGAGGGUGACCGGCCACACUGGGACUGAGACACGGCCCAGACGCCGACGGGAGGCAGCAGUGGGGAAUAUUGCACAAUGGGCGAAAGCCUGAUGCAGCGACGCCGCGGGAGGGAUGACGGCCUUCGGGUUGUAAACCUCUUUCAGCAGGGAAGAAGCCACAAGUGACGGUACCUGCAGAAGAAGCGCCGGCUAACUACGUG